ACCUGAGGGAGAUGCACGCCCAUGUUGAUGUGUGAGCAUGGCAAGUUGAAGCAAGAGAAGCCAAUUUAAUUCAGAGAAAGUUGUUUCUUAAAAGUAUCUGUAAAGUGCUCAUUUCUGCCUCAAAGCAUGGGUCAGCCAGCGAGUUCGACGGUGGCGUAGUUUGUGAUCAAGGUGAAGCUGUAACAACCCCAAGAUCUUACAACUAACAUUAAAGCCAACUUCAUGCCAUCA